AAAUGAAUAGACGGGGGCCCGCACAAGCGGCGGAGCAUGUGGAUUAAUUCGAUGCAACGCGAAGAACCUUACCUGGGUUUGACAUCUACCGGACCGCUCCAGAGAUGGGGCUUCCCUUGUGGCUGGUAGACAGGUGGUGCAUGGCUGUCGUCAGCUCGUGUCGUGAGAUGUUGGGUUAAGUCCCGCAACGAGCGCAACCCUUGUCCUGUAUUGCCAGCGCGUAAUGGCGGGGACUUGCAGGAGACUGCCGGGGUCAACUCGGAGGAAGGUGGGGAUGACGUCAAGUCAUCAUGCCCCUUAUGUCCAGGGCUUCACACAUGCUACAAUGGCUGGUACAGAGGGCUGCGAUACCGUGAGGUGGAGCGAAUCCCUUAAAGCCAGUCUCAGUUCGGAUUGGGGUCUGCAACUCGACCCCAUGAAGUCGGAGUCGCUAGUAAUCGCAGAUCAGCAACGCUGCGGUGAAUACGUUCCCGGGCCUUGUACACACCGCCCGU
rnacentral:rRNA from 1 species